CCACACUAGAUGUCAGUGGCGAGGACAACCAAAGAUGGCCUGGACACUGGAGAGCUCGGGAACAGCGUGGCUGCCUGCGCGUCGGCAAAUAUUGGAGACGCAGUGUUAUGUGGAGGAAGGCUAGGUAUCCCUCCGCCACCACAGCUGUGUGAACUGCUUUCACACACUUUCCGCGCAGAAAAUAGCGAGAAAGCAUACAAACUCGUCAUUAUUGUUCAAGUUUUUCAGGGAUUGUAGUUUGUCUGUGUAUCACGGCCAGUUGUUGUUGGUGUUAUUUAUUUCGCCUUUUAAUCCAAGACAAUAUGCUGACAGAAACAUACUGUAGCACCAAGGACAGUCGCCAGGUGUACCUGCAUGUCUAACGUCCAUUGAAUUCAACUCCAACGUGUUUUGUUCUCAAAACCAAAAAGUACUGUACUCGCACUCGCUACUUGUAAAAAAAAAAAUAUAUAUAUAUAUAUCAACAUUAUGACACGUUUCACGUUUCAACCUGAUCAAUUUUAACACGAUAAGGUAUCACGUUAUAACACACGUUUUAUGAUAUAGCAUGGCAUUUAACUGUUUUUGUGGAAAAAAAAUUCUUGUAAAAUAAAACAAAACAAUCUUAUU